rnacentral:tmRNA from 1 species
CCUCUUCCCAUCCAACACGGAAAACACUAUAUCAGCCUUGCCGGUUCUCGGACCGGCUAUGGCGAUAAAUGAGCGAUGGAAUAAACCUAUUGGACCCGGGGGCGGUACCCGGCGCCUCCACCAAAAACCGGCGGAAAGACUAUGGUCGCGGCCGGCUUUUGAUGGGGGCGAAAUAGGAUCGACAAGGGUGUAAAGAUCGACUUUUUGCUCGGCAUGAUACCGCCGUUAUCGGGUCAAAAGUGUAGUUGCAAACGACAACAACGCUAAGGAAUACGCUCUCGCUGCCUAAUGGCGGUGCGGGAAUUCCGCUCUAAGUCCUUAGGGUUAGCCCCUUAAGGCGGGGUCCGAAGGCACCUGGCAACAGAAGCCUUCACC